rfam:Thermobrachium celere DSM 8682 genomic scaffold, scaffold33
GGGCGCGUAGCUCAGCUGGGAGAGCAUCUGCCUUACAAGCAGAGGGUCAUAGGUUCGAGCCCUAUCGUGCCCA